GCAGGUUUAGCUCAGCUGGGAGAACGUCAGACCGAAGUCCACCUUAUCAUAUUAUCUGAAGGCUGAGCGUUCAAGCCACUCAACGUGCA